UAGUUGCUUGACAUUUUUAUUCAGUGUCAUUUACAUGCAAACCAAAAAUAUAUAAUUAAUAUAUAAAUAUAGUGAUAUACUCCUAUAUAUUAUGAUUAUGUGUUGUCAAAUUUUCUUUGCUUGUGUAUUGUUUUGUGUGUAGAGAUUUAUUUAAUGUGGCCAAAGAUCUUAUAUGUCAAACUUGUCAUAAACUGAGAAUUUUUGUCGUGUUUUCCUUUUGGAUCUUGAGUAGUGAUUACUCCUUCAGGUUUGUGAUACUUAUCUGAGUAUUAUGCCAAUACAGCUUAUUACCGAGCUCAUGUGAUAUGCAACAUUGCAAGUAAUUGUGGUGUCUUUUAUUGGUGCUAAGAUUGCUAGCAGUAGUCUAUUGUAAUUUGUAAAUAUAUAUAUAUAUAUAUAUAUAUAUAUAUAUAAACAAAGUCCUUGACUAUACUCCGUAGGAUGUUUUUAGAUGCCAAAUCAUUACAAUUGCUUGUGGGUGUCUUUUGCAUACAAAUAAACAAAGGUAUUGACUAAUACUUAGGAUUUUUUGGAUGAUAUUUGGCACUGGACAAUCAGUAUGUGAAAUCUUAUGUUGCAUUAAUUGUUGUUGGACCAAAGUCUCUUGUUGUUAGCUAUAACCAUCUCCGAUCAUAGAAAGAAAAAGAACACGAAAAAAAUCCAGCUGUCAUUCGAUAAGAUUCCAUUAUUAAAGUGCAGUUUAAUUCAAAUGGUAGGAAUAGCACCAGUGACAAGGUAGUUUUCCUUCAUUUGAUAUGUACUCUGUUAGUGUCCAAAAACUAUUUUAUCUUUUACAGCUUUCAAUCAUAAUUUUGAAGAUUCGACAUUAUAACACUUCCUGAAGCUCUACUCUUGCAGGUUAUCUGAUCACUUCACUUGUUGAUACUGGUUUCAAUGGUCAUGUGGUUGAAAAAGGCGAGGUGAUUGCUCUACUUGACAUAGCAAUAUGUUUGUAUGAGGCUAUGCUCAUUUGGAGAGGGCAGCUCAGAAGGGAAAGUGAUUUCGCUAUGAACUUCGAUUGUGAAUAUUUAUACCUUUCAUGUCCAACAUAAUCUUUGACAACUCAAAUAAGGUCACAUUGUAUAGGGACUUUGCCCUUUGGACAUAAAAGAGGCUCGCAUAUCUAAAGAGAAGCAAUGCAGCUAUAAAUUUGUUUUGCACUAUAAAUUUGUUUUACACUUCUAUAUGGGAUUAGGACUUUACUAUUUUUAUUACUAUUAUAUGUGUUCAAAACACAUAAGAUUGUUUUAUGUAAAAUCAUUAGAUACUGGAUGUCUAUUUAGCCAAAUUUUGGCAUUUUAUUUGACGAGUUUUUAAUGAAAUUUGUUGGAUUAUUACUAA